UACAGAGGGGGCAAGCGUUGUUCGGAAUUACUGGGCGUAAAGGGCGCGUAGGCGGCCUUCUAAGUCGAACGUGAAAUCCCCGGGCUCAACCCGGGAACUGCGUCCGAUACUGGAAGGCUUGAAUCCGGGAGAGGGAUGCGGAAUUCCAGGUGUAGCGGUGAAAUGCGCAGAUAUCAGGAGGAACACCGAUGGCGAAGGCAGGUCACUGGGCCGCAACUGACGCUGAGGAGCGAAAGCAUGGGGAGCGAACAGG
rnacentral:rRNA from 1 species